UCGUAUUGACCAAUCCAAGUGUCUGCAUACUUCAAAUCCUUGGCAACAGUAGCAAAGCCUCUGGGGAAAGUCGAGAUCCUAAGGUAAGAAGCAGCCCUUGAAGCCCAAACCCGCAUAGCCAUCUUUACUCACACCGCCGCUUAGAAUACACACAGAAAGAAGCACGCCGCCCUUUGUUAACUCUUGAAUGGCUACAACUCCUCAAGCUCGGAA